rnacentral:rRNA from 1 species
UACGGGGGGAGCAAGCGUUGUUCGGAUUUACUGGGCGUAAAGGGCGCGUAGGCGGCCAGUGCAAGUCAGUUGUGAAAUCUCCGAGCUUAACUCGGAAAGGUCAACUGAUACUGCUCGGCUAGAGUGCGGAAGGGGCAACUGGAAUUCUUGGUGUAGCGGUGAAAUGCGUAGAUAUCAAGAGGAACACCUGCGGCGAAGGCGGCUUUCUGGUCUGUAACUGACGCUGAGGCGCGAAAGCGUGGGGAGCAAACAGG